rnacentral:rRNA from 1 species
UACGAAGGGGGCAAGCGUUGCUCGGAUUUACUGGGCGUAAAGGGUGUGUAGGCGGUUUGAUAAGUUAGAUGUGAAAGCCCAGGGCUCAACCCUGGAACUGCAUUUAAAAACUAUUGAACUUGAAGUUUGGAGAGGUAAGCGGAAUUCCCAGUGUAGAGGUGAAAUUCGUAGAUAUUGGGAGGAACACCAAUGGCGUAGGCAGCUUACUGGCCAACACUUGACGCUGAUACACGAAAGCGUGGGGAGCAAACAGG